rnacentral:tRNA from 1 species
GGUCGGAUGGCCGAGUGGCUAGGCAAGGGUCUGCAACACCCUCUACAGCGGUUCGAAUCCGCUUCCGACCU